GACAGAGGUGCCAAGCGUUAGGCGGAAUCACUGGGCUUAAAGCGUGUGUAGGUGGAUUUGUAAGUACCUUGUGAAAUCCCAUGGCUCAACCAUGGAACUGCUCGGUAUACUGCGAAUCUUGAGCCACUUAGGGGCUACCGGAACAAAUGGUGGAGCGGUGAAAUGCGUAGAUAUCGGAAGGAACGCCGGUGGCGAAAGCGACGUGCUGGACCCCUUCUGACGCUGAGGCGCGAAAGCCAGGGGAGCAAACGGG
rnacentral:rRNA from 1 species